GGGUUGUGAGGUUAAGCGACUAAGCGUACACGGUGGAUGCCCUGGCAGUCAGAGGCGAUGAAGGACGUGCUAAUCUGCGAAAAGCGUCGGUAAGGUGAUAUGAACCGUUAUAACCGGCGAUGUCCGAAUGGGGAAACCCAGUGCAAUUCGUUGCACUAUCGUUAACUGAAUACAUAGGUUAACGAGGCGAACCGGGGGAACUGAAACAUCUAAGUACCCCGAGGAAAAGAAAUCAACCGAGAUUCCCCCAGUAGCGGCGAGCGAACGGGGAGCAGCCCAGAGUCUGAAUCAGCUUGUGUGUUAGUGGAACGGUCUGGAAAGUCCGACGGUACAGGGUGAUAGUCCCGUACACCAAAAUGCACAGGCUGUGAACUCGAAGAGUAGGGCGGGACACGUGGUAUCCUGUCUGAAUAUGGGGGGACCAUCCUCCAAGGCUAAAUACUCCUGACUGACCGAUAGUGAACCAGUACCGUGAGGGAAAGGCGAAAAGAACCCCGGCGAGGGGAGUGAAAAAGAACCUGAAACCGUGUACGUACAAGCAGUGGGAGCACCUUCGGGUGUGACUGCGUACCUUUUGUAUAAUGGGUCAGCGACUUAUAUUCUGUAGCAAGGUUAACCGUAUAGGGGAGCCGCAGGGAAACCGAGUCUUAACUGGGCGUUAAGUUGCAGGGUAUAGACCCGAAACCCGGUGAUCUAGCCAUGGGCAGGUUGAAGGUUGGGUAACACUAACUGGAGGACCGAACCGACUAAUGUUGAAAAAUUAGCGGAUGACUUGUGGCUGGGGGUGAAAGGCCAAUCAAACCGGGAGAUAGCUGGUUCUCCCCGAAAGCUAUUUAGGUAGCGCCUCGUGAACUCAUCUUCGGGGGUAGAGCACUGUUUCGGCUAGGGGGUCAUCCCGACUUACCAACCCGAUGCAAACUACGAAUACCGAAGAAUGUUAUCACGGGAGACACACGGCGGGUGCUAACGUCCGUCGUGAAGAGGGAAACAACCCAGACCGCCAGCUAAGGUCCCAAAGUCAUGGUUAAGUGGGAAACGAUGUGGGAAGGCACAGACAGCCAGGAUGUUGGCUUAGAAGCAGCCAUCAUUUAAAGAAAGCGUAAUAGCUCACUGGUCGAGUCGGCCUGCGCGGAAGAUGUAACGGGGCUAAACCAUGCACCGAAGCUGCGGCAGCGACACUAUGUGUUGUUGGGUAGGGGAGCGUUCUGUAAGCCUGCGAAGGUGUGCUGUGAGGCAUGCUGGAGGUAUCAGAAGUGCGAAUGCUGACAUAAGUAACGAUAAAGCGGGUGAAAAGCCCGCUCGCCGGAAGACCAAGGGUUCCUGUCCAACGUUAAUCGGGGCAGGGUGAGUCGACCCCUAAGGCGAGGCCGAAAGGCGUAGUCGAUGGGAAACAGGUUAAUAUUCCUGUACUUGGUGUUACUGCGAAGGGGGGACGGAGAAGGCUAUGUUAGCCGGGCGACGGUUGUCCCGGUUUAAGCAUGUAGGCUGAUUGUCCAGGCAAAUCCGGAUAAUCAAGGCUGAGGUGUGAUGACGAGGCACUACGGUGCUGAAGUAACAAAUGCCCUGCUUCCAGGAAAAGCCUCUAAGCAUCAGGUAACAUCAAAUCGUACCCCAAACCGACACAGGUGGUCAGGUAGAGAAUACCAAGGCGCUUGAGAGAACUCGGGUGAAGGAACUAGGCAAAAUGGUGCCGUAACUUCGGGAGAAGGCACGCUGGUGUGUAGGUGAAGUCCCUGCGGAUGGAGCUGAGACCAGUCGAAGAUACCAGCUGGCUGCAACUGUUUAUUAAAAACACAGCACUGUGCAAACACGAAAGUGGACGUAUACGGUGUGACGCCUGCCCGGUGCCGGAAGGUUAAUUGAUGGGGUUAUCCGUAAGGAGAAGCUCUUGAUCGAAGCCCCGGUAAACGGCGGCCGUAACUAUAACGGUCCUAAGGUAGCGAAAUUCCUUGUCGGGUAAGUUCCGACCUGCACGAAUGGCGUAAUGAUGGCCAGGCUGUCUCCACCCGAGACUCAGUGAAAUUGAACUCGCUGUGAAGAUGCAGUGUACCCGCGGCAAGACGGAAAGACCCCGUGAACCUUUACUAUAGCUUGACACUGAACAUUGAGCCUUGAUGUGUAGGAUAGGUGGGAGGCUUUGAAGCGUGGACGCCAGUCUGCGUGGAGCCAACCUUGAAAUACCACCCUUUAAUGUUUGAUGUUCUAACGUUGGCCCCUGACCGGGGUUGCGGACAGUGUCUGGUGGGUAGUUUGACUGGGGCGGUCUCCUCCCAAAGCGUAACGGAGGAGCACGAAGGUUAGCUAAUCCUGGUCGGACAUCAGGAGGUUAGUGCAAUGGCAUAAGCUAGCUUGACUGCGAGCGUGACGGCGCGAGCAGGUGCGAAAGCAGGUCAUAGUGAUCCGGUGGUUCUGAAUGGAAGGGCCAUCGCUCAACGGAUAAAAGGUACUCCGGGGAUAACAGGCUGAUACCGCCCAAGAGUUCAUAUCGACGGCGGUGUUUGGCACCUCGAUGUCGGCUCAUCACAUCCUGGGGCUGAAGUAGGUCCCAAGGGUAUGGCUGUUCGCCAUUUAAAGUGGUACGCGAGCUGGGUUUAGAACGUCGUGAGACAGUUCGGUCCCUAUCUGCCGUGGGCGCUGGAGAAUUGAGGGGGGCUGCUCCUAGUACGAGAGGACCGGAGUGGACGCAUCACUGGUGUUCGGGUUGUCAUGCCAAUGGCACUGCCCGGUAGCUAAAUGCGGAAGAGAUAAGUGCUGAAAGCAUCUAAGCACGAAACUUGCCCCGAGAUGAGUUCUCCCUGAGACUUUAAGUCUCCUGAAGGAACGUUGAAGACGACGACGUUGAUAGGCCGGGUGUGUAAGCGCAGCGAUGCGUUGAGCUAACCGGUACUAAUGAACC
rnacentral:rRNA from 1 species